rnacentral:lncRNA from 1 species
UGCCAUCUCCCAUUGUGAUGACACAGCCAAUGUCCCUCACCAGAGCCAAGCAGAUGUUGGUGCCAUGCUCUUGAACUUCUAAAAAUCAGCAGCCUAGCCGACACAGCAGCAGAAGAGGCCCCAGCACAAGGAUGGAAGAUGCAAGGCCUCUUGAGACCUGCCUGGUCUUAGAAUGAUCACAGUAUCACCUCUGCACCCUCGUGGUACUGCAGUCACAUGAUCAAGGGAGGAAGUAGAGUCCUCUCUUAAUGGAAGUUGCUGCAAAGAACUUGCAGCCAUAUUGACAGUUUACACAUGGUGAAGACAAUCCUGUGUUCCAUCAAUAAGUAUUUCUGAGUUCCCCUGAAAUGACAUGCCU